rnacentral:rRNA from 1 species
UACGUAGGUGGCAAGCGUUGUCCGGAUUUAUUGGGUUUAAAGGGUGCGUAGGCGGUCUUAUAAGUCAGUGGUGAAAUACGGCAGCUCAACUGUCGAGGUGCCAUUGAUACUGUAGGACUUGAGUACAGACGAGGUAGGCGGAAUUGACGGUGUAGCGGUGAAAUGCUUAGAUAUCGUCAAGAACACCGAUAGCGAAGGCAGCUUACUAGGCUGUAACUGACGCUGAGGCACGAAAAGUGUGGGGGAUC